GUGUUUCAUUAAAAAUACACUGUUUCAUACAUAUGUAAAUGUUAAAACCUUUAAAACAGUUUUAAAAAUGCAUUCAUAUGUGAAAAAAGUCAAAGACCGGUCAUUUUACAGAAAAAGUCAAACAAGACAGUUUUUCAUUACAGACUUACGUUUACAAAAAUUAUCCUGUUUUAAAGAUCCAACAGAAACACUUUUAUCCAAAACUUUAGAGAUAUUCCAAAAGACCUCAUGAGGAGCCCAACGAAACACCUCCGUUCGGGUCAGCGGGAGAAAACGAUUGUUUGAAUGUGUGAGCGUGAGCGGAGCCACACGCAGACUCCUCCCACGACACUCCCACAUCACGUGACCCUCUGUGCAUGCGGUAUCCAUACGUACAACACGUCCACCCCCAACGUCAUACGACGGACUGUUUUAAAAAACGUCCGUUCAGGACGGAGCAUGAAACUUAAAUGAGAGAAUUAACGCCUUGCAAUGAGGCGCGCUAACCACGCCUCCUCACACGCCCCGUAGAAGACGCACGUGCGGCGGAUUGGCCCGCGCUCUAUUCACGCCCCGUAGAAGACGCAUCCACGAAGCAUUGGUCCUCGCUUCAUGGAGACACACGUAAACACCUCCCAUAUUCCGACAGCGGCUGUUUCAAAAAGCCAAAACCUCACAGACUGCAGACAGUGUGUAUUUUAAGGAUCAGCUCCACGGAUUGAAUUUUGGAUGGAUUAUUUCGGAUUCACACAGGUGUUCAGGGCCGCCAAAGCACAUCGCUGGAUCUAUACGGAUUUAUUAUUGUGUUAAUUUGGGUAAAUCAAAGUCGAGUUCAUCGGAUUAUCGACAUUGUUCAGCGUGUGGAAAUAUGUGGAUUUAUCAUCAUGUUUGUUCAUUCUGAAUCACGAAAACAGUUCAUUGGGUUUUGAGGAUUAUGCCGUAUUUCUUGUGGAAUAUCAUGCAUUCAUCACAAGGAAAUCCGAGACAUGAAGUUUUAUAAUUUCAGCAGUGAGGAUUAUGUGCUUUAUCAACGCUGUGUACACCUGUGGAAAUAUGAGAAUGUAUCAAUGACCUCCUCAGCACACUGUUCAUUGGAUUAUGUGUUUUAUCACCGAUCUGUUCAUUCAUAGCGUCUGAUCCACAAAACGUGUCAUUUGGUGUUUUAUCAGCGUCCUCCCCAUGCAGCGCAAGGAAAUAUUUUAUUAACGGCCUCCUCAAUAUUACGUCUGACCGACAAAACACGUCAUGGAAUGUUUUAUCAGCGUCCUCUUCGGCGCGAGAAAAUAUGUGGAUUUAUCAUCAGGUUUGUUCAUUCUGAAUCACGAAAACAGUUCAUUGGAUUAUCAACAUUGUUCAGCGUGUGGAAAUAUGUGGAUUUAUCAUCAGGUUUGUUCAUUCUGAAUCACGAAAACAGUUAAUUGAUUUUGAGGAUUAUGCCGUUUCUUGUGGAAUAUCAUGCAUUCAUCACAAGGAAAUCCGAGACAUGAAGUUUUAUAAUUUCAACUGAUCUGAGGAGGGCGCAACGUUAACUGGAUGUAAACAGAGAACUUGUAACGUCUUUUAAACACAGGAGGAGAAUCGUGAAAGCAUUCUGAACAACAUCUGAUAAGGUAACAAAUAUUAUACAAAUAUUAUUUUGACGUUAUUAUUAUUUUUAUUCAUUUGAUUGUUAUAUAUAUAUAUAUUAAUGCUAUGGGGCUGUAGUCAUUACCUUUAAAUUCAGUAAUAUCCUAUACUAAAUCUAAACUACAUAUCAUUUGAAGUCUGACUAUCUCUAGUUUUUCAUAUUUGUUUCAUUGUUAUUGUUUUUUAUUAAUUUGACUAUUAUUUCUAUUACAACAUGAACUGGUGCUUGCUAUCCUUAACACCGGAGGAGAAUUGUGAAAUACAACAUGAACAACAGCUGAUAAAGGAUGUUGUUAACCGCGCUGAAGGACAAUCGAGAAACCCCUGACAGCAGCUAAUAUUGGUAACAAAGCACCUUUUAAAUGAAUGUUAUCCAGAUUAUCAAUGGAAAAGACACAACGCAAGGUAUGCGAUAUAUCAUAAUCACUGAUUUCUUUUAUAUUAAUUUGAAUGUUAUUAUUUUUAUUCAUUUGACUGUUAUUUUACAGAUGUUAUUUGUAUUAAUAGUAUGGGUUGUUGUUAUUAAAACCUCUUCAACGGCAUCACUCCCAUCGAUGGGAUCCAUACCCAAAACCAUUACCUAUUUAAAUUCAGUAAUAUCCUAUACUAAAGCUAGACUAAUCUUAAACAAACCACAUAUCAUUUGAAAUCUUACAAUCUCUAGUUUUUCAUAUUUGACUGAUUGUUUUUAUUAAUUUGACUGAUUUGUAUUACCGGCAUGGUUUGUUGUUAAACAUUACCCAUCAGCUAUUACUAUUAUCAGAGACCAUUACACGUAAUAAGAGGACCUUCACAUUGCACAACAGAUCAAUCGUGAAAAGUUUCAGACUUGUGUACAAUAAGCGAGUACUCCAACCAGAUUAUACGACCUUGCCUUACGGGUUUUAACAAUACUUUGAAAAUGUGUGAAACAGGUGUUUUUGACUGCAGACUGCAACACCCAUUUUCGGCUGUUAUUAGUGGUCCAAGCAAUAGCGGGAAGACUUUUUUUGUAAAGACUCUAAUGUAUAAUUCGGACAAAAUGUGUUCUGUGAAGUUUGAUAAUUAUGUGUACAUUUAUACAUGCUGGCAGUCUUUAUAUGAUGAGCUGUUACAUGCUUUUGAUAUUAAAUUCAUUGAAAACAUCCCAAA